AGGAAUGCAGGGGCCCAUGUUUUGCUGAGUCCCAAAGAACAACAGCACCUUAGGAAGAUUCCUGUUCUUACCUAAGUAAGAGCCUGGGCCAGAGACUGAGCAGAGAUAAAGAUGUCGAGUCUGAAGAUAGGAAGGCUCCCAGAAACAAAUUGUUAUAGAAGAAGAAAUCUUAUAGAAGCUCUGUGGAAAGUGAAACCUUUCUGUCUCUUAGUACUCUAUCCUCAGCAUCUAGAAGACUUGGCAAUCAUCUGUUGAAUAAAGGAAUGAAUCACUGUCACGAGGGCAUGGUAGCUAUGAUGUAUCUUCUGGUGGAAGACAUUUUCCAACUCAUCAUCAUUCCUUCAGCUACUGGCUCUAUGUCAGACUCUCAGUUAUAGGAUUAAUGUAUGUAACAGCUUGAAAGACCAAGGCCAAUCAGAAACCUGCUGCUGUGUUAUAAAGUGCUUUGCCAGGCUUACUAUACAAUCUUGCUGUGGUAAGAGUUAUUCCCGCCAUAUCCGUGGAGCAGUCCUUAACUUAUUCUCAGCGUGCAAAUGAAGGAGACCCCUGUCCCACAAAUAGGGAAGGUGUUGGACAUCAAGAUCUACAGUACUUAGCUAAACUCAAUUCAUGAGCAUUUGCAUCUUCUACUCCAACCUAGCCUUUUGGAAUAAACUGUCUCACUCCCCACCAUGGAAACUUGGAAUUCAGCAGAAAUUUAAAAGAAGAAAAAUAUUUACUGUGAAGAACUCUUUUCUUUUGCCCAUGGUUAGCUUUGGUCCUCUGUUCUUCCUCUCAUCUCAGAUUUCAUAGAAGGUUUGCCUGUUAAUUUUGAGUAGGCCUUUUCCCCAGUUUCCAGUCAAGCAUUUAAACUUGAACUCACAUACAAGGGUGAGAAAUAACAUUAUAAACAUUAACAUAAACAUCUAAUUCAUUUGACCAUUUUUUUCCCUCAA